CAGCCGCGGUAAUACGUAGGGUGCAGGCGUUAAUCGGAAUUACUGGGCGUAAAGCGUGCGCAGGCGGUUUGUUAAGACAGGUGUGAAAUCCCCGAGCUCAACUUGGGAAUUGCGCUUGUAACUGGCAAGCUAGAGUGUGGCAGAGGGGGGUGGAAUUCCACGUGUAGCAGUGAAAUGCGUAGAUAUGUGGAGGAACACCGAUGGCGAAGGCAGCCCCCUGGGUUAACACUGACGCUCAUGCACGAAAGCGUGGGGAGCAAACAGGAUUAGAUACCCUGGUAGUCCACGCCCUAAACUAUGUCAACUAGUUGUCGGGGAAGAAAUUCCUUGGUAACGAAGCUAACGCGUGAAGUUGACCGCCUGGGGAGUACGGCCGCAAGGUUAAAACUCAAAGGAAUUGACGGGGACCCGCACAAGCGGUGGAUUAUGUGGAUUAAUUCGAUGCAACGCGAAAAACCUUACCUACCCUUGACAUGCCAGGAAGCCUGCAGAGAUGUGGGUGUGCCCGAAAGGGAACCUGGACACAGGUGCUGCAUGGCUGUCGUCAGCUCGUGUCGUGAGAUGUUGGGUUAAGUCCCGCAACGAGCGCAACCCUUGUCGUUAAUUGCCAUCAUUUAGUUGGGCACUUUAACGAGACCGCCGGUGACAAACCGGAGGAAGGUGGGGAUGACGUCAAGUCCUCAUGGCCCUUAUGGGUAGGGCUUCACACGUAAUACAAUGGUCGGUACAGAGGGCUGCCAACCCGCAAGGGGGAGCUAAUCCCAGAAAGCCGAUCGUAGUCCGGAUUGUAGUCUGCAACUCGACUGCAUGAAGCCGGAAUCGCUAGUAAUCGCGGAUCAGCAUGUCGCGGUGAAUACGUUCCCGGGUCUUGU
rnacentral:rRNA from 1 species